rnacentral:piRNA from 1 species
UCCUCAUUCCUCAUACUGUGUGAUCAGC